rnacentral:rRNA from 1 species
CCGUGCGAAGGUAGCGCAAUCACUUGUCUUUUAAAUGGAGACCUGUAUGAAUGGCAUAACGAGGGCUUAGCUGUCUCCUUUUUCAAGUCAAUGAAAUUGAUCUCCCCGUGCAGAAGCGGGGAUACGUACAUAAGACGAGAAGACCCUAUGGAGCUUUAGACACCAAGGCAGACCAUGUUAAACACCCCAAAACAAAGGGCCAAACCAAAUGACCCCUGCCCUAAUGUCUUUGGUUGGGGCGACCGCGGGGAAACACAAAACCCCCACGUGGAACGAGAGUACUCCCUCUCACAACCAAGAGCUUCCGCUCUAAUAAACAGAAAUUCUGACCAAUAAGAUCCGGCAAAGCCGAUCAACGGACCGAGUUACCCUAGGGAUAACAGCGCAAUCCCCUUUUAGAGGCCAUAUCGACAAGGGGG